rnacentral:rRNA from 1 species
UACGUAGGGUGCAAGCGUUGUUCGGAAUUAUUGGGCGUAAAGGGCGCGUAGGCGGUUUGUUAAGUCGGUCGUGAAAGCCCGGGGCUCAACCCCGGAGGGUCGACCGAUACUGGCAGACUAGAGUACAGAAGAGGUAACUGGAAUUCCCGGUGUAGCGGUGAAAUGCGUAGAUAUCAGGAGGAACACCGGUGGCGAAGGCGGGUCUCUGGGCCGAUACUGACGCUGGAGGAGCGAAAGCGUGGGGAGCGAACAGG